rnacentral:rRNA from 1 species
UACGUAGGGUGCGAGCGUUGUCCGGAAUUAUUGGGCGUAAAGAGCUUGUAGGCGGUUUGUCGCGUCUGCCGUGAAAAUCCGGGGCUCAACCCCGACUUGCGGUGGGUACGGGCAGACUAGAGUGUGGUAGGGGAGACUGGAAUUCCUGGUGUAGCGGUGAAAUGCGCAGAUAUCAGGAGGAACACCGAUGGCGAAGGCAGGUCUCUGGGCCACUACUGACGCUGAGAAGCGAAAGCAUGGGGAGCGAACAGG